rnacentral:tmRNA from 1 species
UGGAUUGCAGCGGCUGCACGUUGCGCCUAUAUGACACUCGCCGGCUUCCAGCCGGCUAUGGCGAUAAACGGUGGCGUUGAAUAGACGCAGCGGACCCGGGGGCAGUACCCGGCGGCUCCACCACCGCAGCUGAGCGAUCAGCUUCGAUGACGGGGCCGAACUAGGAUCGACGUGUGUUGAAGGGCGCUGUCUUUCGCUCGGAAUGGGACCACCGCAACGGCCCAUUACACAAGUGCCAACGAUAACGAAGCACUCGCGAUUGCGGCGUAACUGAGGGCCUAACGGCCUGAGGUUAUUCCAAGAUUACGCGGUUGGACCCACCGGGCAACAGAAGGGAUUCCAGCGGUACGGGGAGCACCGGGCAACAGAAGCUCCCCACC